GCGCGAUGCUAGCCAGUGCGUUUCAGAAUGAUUAGUGGAGUCCAUCGGAGAGACAGAUUAAAGUGUCGCUAUAAUCCGGUGACCGAGGAGAUUUUGAGAGGAAAAAAACACCGUCUUUAACCACAGCAGCCAUAUUGUGUGGAAGUAAACGCACCUCACCUCGCGAAGGCUUUUACUUUUUCCAGAAGAAAAGUGUCCAACAUCUUCGUCCGGACUUUCCUUCACUCGGCGGCGGCGGCGGCGGCGGGUUUGUGUCGGUCAGAGCCUGCCAGCUGGCGCAGGGUUGCGGACUCUCGGCUUCACUCUUGACGCUCUCUGUCCACACAAUUGGUUAAUUUAUUCACUUUCAACCACUCUCAACCACUGUUGAGCACAAUGAAGGACCGAUUGGAGCAGCUAAGAGCGACGUGUGACCAUGAUGACGACGAAGUGGAGAUCGCGAUGGACAACGCAGCCUUCAUGGAUGACUUCUUCUGUCAGAUCGAAGACAUCAGAAACAGCAUCGAUAAAAUUGACGCCAACGUGGCUGAAGUCAAGAAGCUUUACUCCGUCAUACUGUCGGCGCCCACGUCUGAUCAGAAAACACAAGACGAACUGGAGGCGAUCACCAAUGACAUUAAGAAGAUGGCCAACAACGCCAGAAACAAACUUAAGACCAUCGAGAGGAAUUUGGAGUCUGAAGAGCAGGAGAGAGUGUCUGCAGAUAUGCGGAUACGUAAAUCUCAGCAUGCAGUGCUGUCAAGGAAGUUUGUGGAGGUGAUGACAAAAUAUAAUGAAGCCCAGGUGGACUUCAGGGAGAGGAGUAAAGGCCGUAUCCAGAGACAACUAGAGAUCACUGGGAAAGCGACGACAGAUGAGGAGCUGGAAGAAAUGUUGGAGAGCGGCAACGCUGCCGUCUUCACCGCUGGGAUCGUGGACUCUGGGAUCUCCAAACAAGCGCUGAGUGAGAUUGAAUCCAGACAUAAGGACAUCGUCCGCCUUGAAAGCAGCAUCAAGGAGCUGCAUGACAUGUUUGUAGAUAUCGCCAUGCUGGUGGAGAGCCAGGGUGACAUUGUAGACAACAUAGAGCAGAAUGUCUCCAAGUCCGUGGACCACAUUGUGGUGGCUAAAGAACAGACUAAAAAAGCAGUCAGGUACCAGUCCAAAGCUCGCAAGGGCGGGAUGAUUGACAGGAUUGAAAGCAACAUGGACCAAUCAGUGGGCUUCGUGGAGCGGGCCGUAGCAGACACUAAAAAAGCUGCCAAAUUUCAGCAAGAGGCUCGUCGUGUGAGUCACCUGAGACAAAAUCUCCUCGGAUUUCCCAAAAGCAUACGGAGGUUGCUGAUAUUUGCAACGGUGAAAAUAUCUUCUUAACAAACGUGGACCUCUGAGUCAUGAGUUUCUUGGCUGAGGUUGAAACCAUGUACUGUAGUCCUCAGUUCUGGACUGUGGUAGCUCAAAUAUAGCCCUGAUUUGAUUAUAGUCAGUUUUCUGUACCUGAGUGCAGCAACUUCAACUUGGCAACAUGAAGUUGUCCAGACUCAGAAGGAAUGUUACAGAGGGCACAAAAUGAUAAGCUACAAACAUCACGGUUCAGAGCAGUUCACUGAAGAGACGCUGCGGUGAAAGAGUUGAUCCACAAGCAUUGACAUGGCCUCAUUCUGCGACAUUAUGGGCUGUUAUUGAGUCAUAAUGCUAAAAAAGAGCUUUUGCUGACCAGUCUAGUAAACUUACUACUUACUUAUGCUUUUGGGAAACCCGAAUGGUUGUGAGAAGAUCAUUCUGCCAUGUGAUGUUUAUCCUUCGAUCCUACUCUGAUCCUCAGUCACUGGUCUUGUUGUAGUGCGACCCCCUGACCCAUCCACACACAUGCACACACAUGCACACGCACACACAUUCACCUGCAGUUACAUAGAAACAAACUGGACUCAAGAAACAAACUCAACAAAUUUCUAAAAACAGGUCGGCAUGUUCUGCCCACUGCUCAAACGCCGCAAAAGUGUUUAUGUUCUUAUUCUUUUGAGGUUUUAAAAGAACCUAAAACCUCUUGUGUAUGUGUUUAAUAGUUUCAUGCUUUUACUCACUUGAUCAUGUUUUGCUUGAAGCUGAGCUAGAAGCAUCAGAUCAGAUCUACUGUCAACAAAUUCUAGUACUUGUUGAGACUCUUGUGAGAUGUGUACUGAUAAUGAUGGCACAUUUUUUCAUAUUCGUUGUUUGUCAGUGCUGCAGCCAAAAUGCAGUAAGGCUUGGCUCCAGCUUGAUGCAACUGUGGGCUUCAGUAAAUUGUCCUGAGGUGUGAGUGUGUGCGAGUGGUUUCACAGUACUACUGUAUGAAAUUACCGGGUCGACAUGCCAGUAAGCUGCUAAUAAGCGUGUGCAUUUUGUAAAGUUAUUUUGUUCAUAAUACUGCGACUUUCCUUGACAAAUAGUCUGGACGACGUAUAUGAAGGUGCUCUUCAAUGUAGUAGCUGGAAUUGUCUCCAUUACCAGCAACACUGUAAAGAAAAUAAGGAAAAUAAUAAGAAUUAAAAUCAUGGUUAGAUUUUAUACUAUAAUUUCUAUGCUCUGCCUUGAGAGAAUUCACUUUUUGAUUUAAGGCAUGCUGUACAUAGAUUUAGCAGGAGAUAUGAGUGUAUCUGAUUACUCUUUGGGGUGUAUAUGAGCUUGAUGGAGCCAUGCUGAUGAUACCUUCUGUACUCCCAACAGAAAGUGCUGAUUUUAGUGGGUAUUGUUCUGGUCCUGCUGGCAAUACUUGCUCUCAUAAUUGGUUUGUCGGUGGGAUUAAGUCAGCGCUGAUGAUCUUUUUAAGAGAAGGGUGGAAGGGUAAGUACGUACGUCUCUGUAGUGACACACUGGGUGUGGGUUUUGGUUCAAAGACGGUGUGUAUAUGGGUAUUUACCUUCCUCUUGGUGAGUUACUUAAGGUGUGUUUGUUUGCAUUUCAAGUAGCCUAGUGUGUUUUCUCCUCCAACAUCUGUUUCCUCUGGUGACUGCUGAGCUCACAGUGGUGGUGGUGAGUUAAGCUGCUGUGAGUGUGUAGUCACUGUUAACUCUUCCUCAUUUGUGUCUCCAUCUGUAGAAGAUGAUCAUUUUCGCUGCCGUCUGUGCCGUUCUUGUUGUCAUCAUCGUCAUCGCCAUCGCCCUGUCUUUGACUCUAUAGCCGGAUUCACUUCCCCGCAUCCACCCAGACACCCUGAGGCUGCUUUAAAUCGCAUCGUGAGGAUUAAAUUGCAUAACAAUGAAACCACUUAGUGGGACCCACAGGAAGAAAAGGACAACAUGAACAUUCAAUCUUUGUUCUCUUCUAUUUACCUGAUUCACCCGUUUUGAUGAAGAGUUGUGCAAUUCGCUCGCCGAUUUGGGAUAAUCUGCUUAAACAUCUAAAAGCAGUGCAACAGGAUGAGCCGACGUCCUACAGACCUCAACGCUGCUCCUUAGAUUUCAGUUAUGAGCCAAAGAAAAGUGGUCAAUUCCAGGCACACCACUCCCCUGCUCAUGUUUGAGCCCUGACAUACGUUGUGUUCACUGGUCUGGGACUUUCAAGCACUUUCACAUUCUUAUGAUGCCUAAUGUCAGAAAAUGUAAAUAGCACAAUUUGUUUUGUUAUUUUUGUUUGUUCAUAUGUGCCUUUAGUGAGUGUUGAGAAUCUUAUCUGUUCUGAUUUUAAAUGAGAUCACGUUGCAUUUGACAGGUGGAGCGACGGUAAGAGAUGAAGUAAAGUGAGACAAUGAAUUGUAUAACGUGCCUUCGUGUGUCGACUGUGGGUCUCGCUUCUUUUCCAAUGUGGUCGUUUGAAUUUCAGUAUGCUGCCAACACUUAAGUGACAAAUGAAACGGUAGAAUUUUUAAGACUGUAUUUAUUGAACUGUAAGAAGUUGAAAAUAAACAUUCUUUCACAUAAAAGAUGGUUUAAUUUUAACCUGAAUUAUACGUAGUGUGAUUAUUACCGGCACUGAGCUCAUGAGGGUUUGAGAAAAAUGGACACGUUUUGCACAAAAAUUCAUAAACUUCAUGUUGCACUCAGAAUACCUGUCAAAAACCAGGCCACGUGGUUCUAUUCAGUUGUCUGAGCGCUAGAUCCAUGUAUGGAAGAGGAAGUGAUCAGCCGCUGCACAUAGUCUUCUGUAUGUUUGCUCAAAAAGGUUGAUAAAGGCUUGGAUGCCUUUUUACUGCACAACACUGGGCUGAGGCAAGAUAUACACCCAACAAACCCCAUGAACCGAUAAAGAUUGAUCAUCAUCAUUGAUCAUUUUUUCUACACAAUAGUAACUAAAACAUAUCAACAAUUUAACACACAGUAUAAGACACAAUAUCGAAUUUUGAGCAGAUCUUUAGUUAUGUAAGAAGCAGAGGGUGCUGCUAUUGCCUCUGUCCUUUCCCUGUGAUAUUGUCUGACUUUUGUUUGCAAUAUACAAGAUAUGCCGACCAUAGCCAUCAGGUAAUCACAUCUGAUCCACCGCUUCAUAUUCUCAGGGGAUCUGGCUCUUCAGUAACAGUUAAAUAUGAUGGUGAAAACAGGGCCAAUGUGUGCAAAGUUGUCUAAAAGAAUUUACCGCAUGACGGAACAAACCUUUGUGAAGAAGCCUGUUUUUUAUUGUUGAGAGAUAUGUCUGAUUUUCUUGUUUAGGUGAGCUACAUGUUGUACAUGUUCUAACAAUCAUGUGUCAACUGCUGUUUUACACCAAAGAAGAGGUAAGUCUUCUGUCUUUUCGACACUCAUGCGCAGAAGCACAACAAACAAACACACAAAAACCCUCUCUUGCCCUUGUUUCCUUGUUCUCUGACCGUCAGUGUGAACUGUGUUACUGUCUUAAUGACAUGAUAACAAAGGCAAACGUUCAUUUGCAUUCUUGUGUGUGACGUUUAUAGAAGAAGAUGAUGAUCACGUUGUGCUGUGCCAUCAUCGGGAUCGUGGGCUUCUCUUAUCUUUACAGCUUCUUCUCUUAAGAGAAAGGCUGACCUCACGGACUGAAGCUCUCCUGUGCUGAUCAUGUCAUUUCCUCAUUUAAUCCUGAUAUUUCAAAGAAAACCAAAAACACCCUUUCUUUCUGCCUUUUCUUAUCAACAUUGCUGUAUGUCAUAAGUGUUGCAUUGCAUAAACAGUUAAACAACGCGACAGUUAUUUAAUUUAAAAAUUAUCCUGAGAAGUAUUUGAUAUUUAUAACGUUUGCUUUUCACUUUGAUUUGUCGUGAGUUGCAUUUGUGGUACCGUUUUAAGAGAAUGAUCAUCAAAAAUAGGCAUAUACCCCCCUGCUAUUCUUUCUAUAAAAAUGCUAUGUGUUAAUCUGUGUGUGCUUUAGUUGUCUCUUUAGUGUGCUGAUAUGUUGUGUUGAUGUUUUCGCUGUGUGAGGAAAGUCACCGGGCGUGUGUCAAUCUGCAAAAGCGUGUUACGUAAUAAAUCAUCUGUCAGUCGUUCUGCUCUCCGC